rnacentral:rRNA from 1 species
UACAGAGGGGGCAAGCGUUAUUCGGAUUCAUUGGGCGUAAAGGGUGCGUAGGCGGCGCGGUAAGUCGGGUGUGAAAUCUCGGAGCUUAACUCCGAAACUGCAUUCGAUACUGCCGUGCUUGAGGACUGGAGAGGAGACUGGAAUUUACGGUGUAGCAGUGAAAUGCGUAGAGAUCGUAAGGAAGGCCAGUGGCGAAGGCGGGUUCCUGGGCAGUGACUGACGCUGAGGCACGAAGGCCAGGGGAGCAAACGGG